rnacentral:rRNA from 1 species
CUAAUACAUGCAAGUCGAGCGGACAGAUGGGAGCUUGCUCCCUGAUGUUAGCGGCGGACGGGUGAGUAACACGUGGGUAACCUGCCUGUAAGACUGGGAUAACUCCGGGAAACCGGGGCUAAUACCGGAUGGUUGUCUGAACCGCAUGGUUCAGACAUAAAAGGUGGCUUCGGCUACCACUUACAGAUGGACCCGCGGCGCAUUAGCUAGUUGGUGAGGUAACGGCUCACCAAGGCGACGAUGCGUAGCCGACCUGAGAGGGUGAUCGGCCACACUGGGACUGAGACACGGCCCAGACUCCUACGGGAGGCAGCAGUAGGGAAUCUUCCGCAAUGGACGAAAGUCUGACGGAGCAACGCCGCGUGAGUGAUGAAGGUUUUCGGAUCGUAAAGCUCUGUUGUUAGGGAAGAACAAGUGCCGUUCAAAUAGGGCGGCACCUUGACGGUACCUAACCAGAAAGCCACGGCUAACUACGUGCCAGCAGCCGCGGUAAUACGUAGGUGGCAAGCGUUGUCCGGAAUUAUUGGGCGUAAAGGGCUCGCAGGCGGUUUCUUAAGUCUGAUGUGAAAGCCCCCGGCUCAACCGGGGAGGGUCAUUGGAAACUGGGGAACUUGAGUGCAGAAGAGGAGAGUGGAAUUCCACGUGUAGCGGUGAAAUGCGUAGAGAUGUGGAGGAACACCAGUGGCGAAGGCGACUCUCUGGUCUGUAACUGACGCUGACGAGCGAAAGCGUGGGGAGCGAACACGAUUA